CUCCCACAUUAGCCUCCUUCCUUUUCCAGUAACCAAGUCUCUGUUCUGCAGGGGUUUUCUGAUCCCCCGAGCUUGCCUGGCUGUAAUCGGUGUGUUCUGUGCUCCGUGGUGCUGCAGGAAAUCUGUGUAAACACCUCAACAGCACGACAGCGGGGAGGUUCAUUGGCCUAACUAACCAGGCUGGCUGAGUUAAACCUGCUUAGUUGUUUAUUUACACAGGUACAUCCAUUAACAUCUCAAACAACUGGAAGAUUAAAGGCCAACAAGAUGCACUGGCUGAAUUGCUUUGCAGGGCGUUUGAUCCGGUCCUCCCGGUGCCGCAGCAGGAACUGCGUGAGACCAGAGUGAAAACAGGGCUGGGCCUGGGCCCGGCUGGAGGGAGAGCAGGGGAGAACAGCCCUGGAGAACAAGAUCCAGCGCAGCGCCGGAGGACAGAGCACACGGAGCUGGCGGUGGCCUCCGCUCCCGUUCCUGUGAGCAUCUCUCCACAGCUUGUUGAACGUAGCAGCAGUCAGCCCAAGAACCGACUGUUCCGAGACGCAGAGGAUUCACACCGAUGCCGUCCCACAGGGGUGUCCAGGAGCGGCGCCCGAACCGCCCGCGUCCCAGCGCUCCCCGCGCCCCCCCGCACAGCCAAUGACCGCCAGACAACGGGGAGCAGGUUCAAUUUACAUUUUACUUCAAAAAAAAAGGGCAAGUACAUACAUGAG